UACGAAGGGGGCUAGCGUUGUUCGGAUUUACUGGGCGUAAAGCGCACGUAGGCGGAUCGUUAAGUCGGGGGUGAAAUCCUGGAGCUCAACUCCAGAACUGCCUUCGAUACUGGCGAUCUUGAGUCCGGAAGAGGUGAGUGGAACUCCUAGUGUAGAGGUGGAAUUCGUAGAUAUUAGGAGGAACACCGGUGGCGAAGGCGGGUCUCUGGGCCGAUACUGACGCUGAGGAGCGAAAGCGUGGGGAGCGAACGGG
rnacentral:rRNA from 1 species